CCUACGGGUGGCAGCAGUAGGGAAUCUUCCACAAUGGGCGAAAGCCUGAUGGAGCCACGCCGCGUGGGUGAAGAAGGUCUUCUGAUCGUAAAACCCUGUUGUUAGAGAAGAAAGUGCGUGAGAGUAACUGUUCACGUUUCGACGGUAUCUAACCAGAACGCCACGGCUAAAUACGUGCCAGCAGCCGCGGGAAUACGUAGGUGGCAAGCGUUAUCCGGAUUUGUUGGGCGUAAAGGGAACGGAGGCGGUAAUUUAAGGCUGAUGUGAAAGCCUUCGGCUUAACCGGGGUAGUGCAUUGGAAACUGGGAGACUUGAGUGCGGAAGAGGAGAGUGGAAUGCGAUGUGUAGCGGUGAAAUGCGUAGAUAUAUGGAAGAACACCAGUGGCGAAAGCGGCUCUCUGGUCUGUAACUGACGCUGAGGUUCGAAAGCGUGGGUAGCAAACAGGAUUAGAUACCCCUGUAGUC
rnacentral:rRNA from 1 species